UACGAAGGGGGCUAGCGUUGCUCGGAAUCACUGGGCGUAAAGGGUGCGUAGGCGGGUUUUUAAGUCAGAGGUGAAAUCCUGGAGCUCAACUCCAGAACUGCCUUUGAUACUGGGAAUCUUGAGUAUGGAAGAGGUGAGUGGAACUGCGAGUGUAGAGGUGAAAUGCGCAGAUAUCGGGAAGAACACCCGUGGCGAAGGCGGCUCUCUGGGACGGUACUGACGCUGAGACGCGAAAGCGUGGGGAGCGAACAGG
rnacentral:rRNA from 1 species